rnacentral:rRNA from 1 species
UGGGGAAUAUUGCACAAUGGGCGCAAGCCUGAUGCAGCCAUGCCGCGUGUGUGAAGAAGGCCUUCGGGUUGUAAAGCACUUUCAGCGGGGAGGAAGGCGAUAAGGUUAAUAACCUUGUCGAUUGACGUUACCCGCAGAAGAAGCACCGGCUAACUCCGUGCCAGCAGCCGCGGUAAUACGGAGGGUGCAAGCGUUAAUCGGAAUUACUGGGCGUAAAGCGCACGCAGGCGGUUUGUUAAGUCAGAUGUGAAAUCCCCGGGCUCAACCUGGGAACUGCAUCUGAUACUGGCAAGCUAGAGUCUUGUAGAGGGGGGUAGAAUUCCAGGUGUAGCGGUGAAAUGCGUAGAGAUCUGGAGGAAUACCGGUGGCGAAGGCGGCCCCCUGGACAAAGACUGACGCUCAGGUGCGAAAGCGUGGGGAGCAAACAGG